AUUGAACGCUGGCGGCAGGCCUAACACAUGCAAGUCGAACGAGUGGCGGACGGGUGAGUAAUGUCUGGGAAACUGCCCGAUGGAGGGGGAUAACUACUGGAAACGGUAGCUAAUACCGCAUACCAUCGGAUGUGCCCAGAUGGGAUUAGCUAGUAGGUGGGGUAACGGCUCACCUAGGCGACGAUCCCUAGCUGGUCUGAGAGGAUGACCAGCCACACUGGAACUGAGACACGGCCCAAACUCCUACGGGAGGAAGCAGUAGGGAAUAUUCCGCAAUGGGCGCAAGCCUGACGCAGCAACGCCGCGUGAGUGAAGAAGGUUUUCGGGUUGUAAAGCGCUGUUGUAAGAGAAGCGGUAUCUUACGAGGAAGCACCGGCUAACUACGUGCCAGCAGCCGCGGUAAUAC
rnacentral:rRNA from 1 species